UUUAUUUCAUUUUACUUAAAUUUUUAGAAUUAAUCCUCAACAAAAAAAUGAAAACUAGUCCAUUGACCAUAUUCACUAUUCACCGUCGCCAUAUUGUUGUGCGACAAUACCCACUACCCAGGGUUAUGAACAUCAAAUAACGAAAGUCACUAAUUUCUUAGGACCGCGAAAGUUUAAAUGAGAAUAUUUGUAAAAUGCAUUCCAAAUUCGUUUACUGAAAAAAUGUCAGGUGAGAGGGAAUAAGUUGAUAAGUUGAAUUAUAUUAUUAACGCUAAGUAAUAGUUAUGAGUCUACCUAAUAG